GUACGACUUAAACGUGUACUUAAAGUCGAACAACGCACUUGGCAAGGCCAUUUGGACCCGGCGCGGGACCCAAGGAAAUCGGUGGAUACAGGCUAACAUCAAUCUCCCACGGAAAAGCAACUUUCAGGUCAUCUUUGAGGGAAUUCGUGGAAGUGGUUACCAAGGUGACAUAGCCAUAGAUGACAUUAAGUCAUUCCCUGGAAAUUGCCCGUCAGGAAGUACAAUUCGUCCUACUGGCACUGCGGUUCCUGGAGGCACUACAUCAGCCCCUGUACUUACCCAGUGCAAUUUUGAGAAUGGACUGUGCGGAUGG